CUUGGUUCCAAGGCCACAAAUCGGAAGAACUGAGCAUCUCGAUCCUGAAAGUAGCUCUCCUGUCGUACUGCAUGGACAAGGGAAGGUGAUUCCAGGGCAUAAAGGAGGAAAUAAGGAGGAUCAAGUCAAGAAAUGAUUUCAUUCCACCACUAAGAUUGCAAGGAAGAUAUUCCACCAAAUCACCAUCUCAUUUACCUCUUACUAAAGCUUUGUUUUAUCUCUAGAAUUCACAGUCAUGAUAAAGAACGGGAAUCAAAUUAUGGAUUCCAGGAAACCAAAGAAAGUGACACUUACCAUGAGCCAGUACUCCUUCAUCCAUCAACACUUGACAAAGCCCAAGGGCCUGGCUGCGGGUCU